CAAGGCUCCCACUCCUUGCCUGGCUGAUACUCCACGCUGCCUGUGUCUAACAUUUUCAUCAACUCUGCAAUCAAUCAACAACUGGAACUGCCCCUGCUGUGUAUUUGAUUCCACCGACGAUGGGGUGGGUUGGAUUUUAAAUGAUGUGUGAGCACUUCUGUUCUUUCCGUGCUCUGGUUUAUGUGUUAUUCAUGACUCGCAUUACAGACAUGGCUGAUACACAGAUGUAAAUGUUAUUAAAUCUUUUGUAUUUUAGAGGCUUUGUGAAAGGCUUCUUUGUUUUCAAAUAAUUCUCUUCACCACCAAAAAUAACCAGUAAUACGUGACAAUGUCUUGGGAAUUUUUUCACUGUAUUUUCUGAUGAAGAGAUUUCCCCCUCUACUGCUAUCUUUUCAUCAACAAAUCAGAACUCAGAGUCACCCAAUUCUUGAUUACCUGUCAGAGAUGCAGUUGCUUUACUGCAUUUGGGUAUCUGACAUAAUUUUUAAUGUGUUUUCACUUUGCUCCAUCCUAUUCAUGUUUCACAGGCUUUCAACAGAAAUGUGGCAGAGGAUAAACCUCUUCAUAUAGACAGCACUUAAUCAGUCUGUGC
rnacentral:lncRNA from 1 species